UACAGAGGGGGGCAAGCGUUGUUCGGAAUUACUGGGCGUAAAGGGCGCGUAGGCGGCCCGCUAAGUCGAACGUGAAAUCCCCGGGCUCAACCCGGGAACUGCGUCCGAUACUGGCAGGCUUGAAUUCGGGAGAGGGAUGUGGAAUUCCAGGUGUAGCGGUGAAAUGCGUAGAUAUCUGGAGGAACACCGGUGGCGAAGGCGGCAUCCUGGACCGAUAUUGACGCUGAGUGCGCGAAAGCCAGGGGAGCAAAGCGGG
rnacentral:rRNA from 1 species